UGGGGAAUAUUGCACAAUGGGGGAAACCCUGAUGCAGCGACGCCGCGUGAGCGAAGAAGUAUUUCGGUAUGUAAAGCUCUAUCAGCAGGGAAGAAAAUGACGGUACCUGACUAAGAAGCUCCGGCUAAAUACGUGCCAGCAGCCGCGGUAAUACGUAUGGAGCAAGCGUUAUCCGGAUUUACUGGGUGUAAAGGGAGCGUAGACGGAGGAGCAAGUCUGGUGUGAAAGGCGGGGGCUUAACCCCUGGACUGCAUUGGAAACUGUUUUUCUAGAGUGCCGGAGAGGUAAGCGGAAUUCCUAGUGUAGCGGUGAAAUGCGUAGAUAUUAGGAGGAACACCAGUGGCGAAGGCGGCUUACUGGACGGUAACUGACGUUGAGGCUCGAAAGCGUGGGGAGCAAACA
rnacentral:rRNA from 1 species